AUUAACCUAAAUGCUUACCAAAAUGGAUUAAUUACUGAUGUACUGAAAACAUUUUGCGUACCAUAUAUCUUCAACUAUAUCUACAAGCCCCUCGUUCUCCACGCCUGCUGCAGCUGCCGAAAACGUCUAAACAAAGUAUCGACCACUUGUGCUUCCCAAAUUUGUUGAAGUGCGGAUAAAAAUCAUGACUGAGAUGCAGAAACUGCCGAUCUGCUUAAUACUGUUCUGGAAGAGGUGAAAGAUAACCCGGAGUCCCUAGAGAAACCUACCGCUCAAUUUUUUAGCAUAAAGAAUGCUCAAAAAACUCCCUCAAUUUAAGUUGUGAAUUGGACGUUAAUGAAGAGUAAAUUGAGGAAAUGGAAGACAUCGUACUUCAAAACAGAAGUUUGGAAAAAUCAAACUGGUGCUGACCUGCUGGCAGAAGGUAUGGAAUCAAGCGUAUCGGAAUAUAUACAUAAAAUAUGUCCAUAUUAUGAAACUCUGGAACAAAUCUUUGGUCAACGUAAAAGUGUUAAACCAGACUUCGUUAUUGAGACGUCAAGCAGCACCUAUGAAGAUUGCAUUGUUGAAACUGAACCUGCCAAUGCUAGCAUUUCUGAAUUAUACGAUUCGGACCAGUUUGUCACUUAAGAUGCUGCUUCCAUUGAGAAUAUCACGGAAGAGCGGCAUGAAUUUUACAGCAUUCAAAAACCAGCUUAAGAAGCGAUCUCUGAAAAGGAACAAACCAUCGAUUAAUUCUGGAUCGAUUUCGCUACUGGUGGACAUACAUGAGAAAAAACUUAAGUUUGAAGAGACGAAAUGGAAUAAGCAGAUACAAAUGGAAGAAAAAAGAUUGCAGCUGGCCAAGGUACAGGCGGAAAAUUAAGUUGAAUUAAAAAAAUCACAAGAAGGUUGUAUGCAAAGCCACGACCGCAAGGUUGAAGUAGAAUACUUUUACAAGAAAGAUAACCUGGCUGCUUGCGUGUCAGUCAUUUUUUCUAGUAAAUAAACGUUGACCGUUCAU